rnacentral:rRNA from 1 species
UACAGAGGGUGCAAGCGUUAAUCGGAAUUACUGGGCGUAAAGCGUGCGCAGACGGUUGCGUAAGUCAGAUGUGAAAGCCCCGGGCUCAACCUGGGAAUUGCAUUUGAGACUGCGUAGCUAGGGUGCGGAAGAGGGAAGCGGAAUUUCCGGUGUAGCGGUGAAAUGCGUAGAUAUCGGAGGGAACACCAGUGGCGAAAGCGGCUUCCUGGU